UACGUAGGGGCAAGCGUUGUCCGGAAUUAUUGGGCGUAAAGAGCGCGUAGGCGGUCCGAUAAGUCGGCUGUGAAAGUCAGGGGCUCAACCCUUGGAAGCCGGCCGAUACUGUCGGACUAGAGUCCGGAAGAGGCGAGUGGAAUUCCUGGUGUAGCGGUGAAAUGCGCAGAUAUCAGGAGGAACACCAAUGGCGAAGGCAGCUCGCUGGGACGUGACUGACGCUGAGACGCGAAAGCGUGGGGAGCAAACAGG
rnacentral:rRNA from 1 species